GACGAACGCUGGCGGCAGGCUUAACACAUGCAAGUCGAACGCAUCCUUCGGGGUGAGUGGCAGACGGGUGAGUAACGCGUGGGAACGUGCCCUUCAGUUCGGGAUAACCCAGGGAAACUUGGGCUAAUACCGGAUACGUGCGAGAGCAGAAAGAUUUAUCGCUGAAGGAUCGGCCCGCGUCUGAGUAGCUAGUUGGUGGGGUAAUGGCCAACCAAGGCGACGAUCAGUAGCUGGUCUGAGAGGAUAAUCAGCCAAAUUGGGACUGAGAAACGGCCCAAACUCCUACGGGAGGCAGCAGUGGGGAAGAUUGGACAAUGGGCGCAAGCCUGAUCCAGCCAUGCCGCGUGAGUGAUGAAGGCCUUAGGGUUGUAAAGCUCUUUCGUCCGGGACGAUAAUGACGGUACCGGAAGAAGAAGCCCCGGCUAACUUCGUGCCAGCAGCCGCGGUAA
rnacentral:rRNA from 1 species